rnacentral:lncRNA from 1 species
GGGUUUCUCUCAUUACCUCGACUAUCAUCGGUGUCAUUUGAAAUCCCUUUGAUAUCUUUUGUCAUUUUUCAGUUAUAGGAGUUCUCACGCCUUCUAUGAUCGUUAGAUUAAUGACCGUUUUCAAGCUUGAUUCUCGUGUGCAAAAAAGACUACUCUCUAGUACCUAUCUUGCAUGGGGAUGGAUAUUUCACUGCAGUAGUUUCUUCUUGAGUUAGCACAGGAGAUCACUUCUUGGAUUUGUUUGAGCAGGUAUCUUUGACUCGUUGCCACCUCUUAUUUCAAAGCUUGUAACUUGUGGCGCCAUAUUAGCAACUAAGUUGUGUGUGUGUUUGUUGAUGAUAAGCACUCUCACGCCAUUACUGGCGCGUAAUAGUUUCCUGAGCCUUCAUCUAUGGCUUCGCUGACGAUCUUCUAAUGGUCCCCACAAAUGGUACUAAUUUUUAAACGACGUUUCUUAAACACAAUAUUAUUUUGGGGACCCAACAGAAUUUCCAACGUAUGUG